rnacentral:lncRNA from 1 species
UCUAAGUCUACAGAGCAUGCCAUUUAGGCCCCUGCCCCCCAUAGGCACAUAGUGUCCGGUAUAAACAUUGCCAAAGGGAGGAUCUGUCGGGUGGGGGAAAUAGCGUUAGGUCAGAGACAACCCAGCGCACCAAUUUCUUUGCUGUUGUUGGCUUACAGCUUAGAGAUGCGCACGGGUCUCUGACUCUUUGUGGCUGAAAAGCCUCAGAUCCUGAUCCUGCAAAGAUUACUUAAAAUGUCUAGCUUUACCUUUUGCAAUAAUCCCGCUAUAUGAUUAACCUUAGCUGUCACAUGAAUAAAGCUAGGCAUGCUCUUUGUCUCUGCAGAGCCCGCUCACUGUACCCCUGUGAGCGGUAUUUACAUACAUCGGUAUCCUCAGCCUCGCCAAUGGGAAAGCUUGUGUGAAUAAGCUGCCUGACAGGGUCAUAAAUUACAUGGUCUUGUCCUCAGAUACAGAAAAAGUGUCUUCGAACAUUUAUGCUUGUAUCCAAGAUGGUGAAGGGAAUAGGAAAUGGUCUGAGCUAAUCCAUUCUCAAGACAGCCUUAAAGUGAUUAAGUUUGUCAUUGUUCUUGAGUGCUACACAGCGGGUUUUACUACUACUGAAUUCUUCCAGAAAUCUACUUAUUUAUGACUGCUACCUAUAUGAUUGGGUUUUUAAGGGCUGUAAGAAUAUGGCAAUACAUUCAAGGCACGCUUUACUGCCUAGCUAGUAGUGCACACACUUGACAAAGUCCCUGUAUCGAAGCACUUUAAAACAGAACUCUUACACAGAUAAAAUUAAUGUCCAAAAUACGCCCCAUAUUGUGGCCUGUGCUAUACGCUCCGUUUCUUUUUAUAGAUGCACAGGGACACUGCUAACAUGCCUCAGUGACUGGCUUCAUCUUUAAGUCCUGUUAAAUCAAUUUUUCUCCUAAUUGGUACAUAAAACAUUAAUAUAAUCUUCUGUUCUGGCCAAAUCCGAUAAGCUCCCUCCCCGGAUAAAUUAUUCCUGCUAGGGACAGGAUGGGGGUCAGAACGGUGCGUUCACAUUUGGCAACGGUAGUAGGCUGGGA